UGGCUGCAGUGGGGAAUAUUGCACAAUGGGCGCAAGCCUGAUGCAGCAACGCCGCGUGAGGGACGAAGGCCUUCGGGUUGUAAACCUCUUUUAGCAGGGAAGAAGCGAAAGUGACGGUACCUGCAGAAAAAGCACCGGCUAACUACGUGCCAGCAGCCGCGGUAAUACGUAGGGUGCAAGCGUUGUCCGGAAUUAUUGGGCGUAAAGAGCUCGUAGGCGGUUUGUCACGUCUGCUGUGAAAUUUCGAGGCUCAACCUCGAACUUGCAGUGGGUACGGGCAGGCUAGAGUGCGGUAGGGGAGAUGGGAAUUCCUGGUGUAGCGGUGGAAUGCGCAGAUAUCAGGAGGAACACCAAUGGCGAAGGCACAUCUCUGGGCCGUAACUGACGCUGAGGAGCGAAAGCGUGGGGAGCAAACAGGAUUAGAUACCCCAGUAGUC
rnacentral:rRNA from 2 species